rnacentral:rRNA from 1 species
AACGGAGGAGGCAAGCGUUAUCCGGAAUUAUUGGGCGUAAAGCGUCCGUAGGUGGUUGGCUAAGUCUGCUGUCAAAGGGUGGGGCUUAACCUCAUAAAGGCAGUGGAAACUGGCGAGCUAGAGUGCGGUAGGGGUAGGGGGAAUUCCCAGUGUAGCGGUGAAAUGCGUAGAGAUUGGGAAGAACAUCGGUGGCGAAAGCGCCCUGCUGGGCCUGCACUGACACUGAAGGACGAAAGCUAGGGGAGCGAAAGGG